UACGUAGGGUGCAGGCGUUAAUCGGAAUUACUGGGCGUAAAGCGCUCGCAGGGGGUCGCGUGCGUCGUGCGUGAAAGACCCCGGCUCAACUGGGGGCUGUCGUGCGAUACGGCGUGACUUGAAGGCAGGAGAGGGAAGUGGAAUUCCCGGUGUAGUGGUGAAAUGCGUAGAUAUCGGGAGGAACACCAGUGGCGAAGGCGACUUCCUGGCCUGUUCUUGACGCUGAGGCGCGAAAGCUAGGGUAGCAAACGGG
rnacentral:rRNA from 1 species